rnacentral:lncRNA from 1 species
UAUUAAAUAAAUGCAUUAUGCUUUUUUCUUGUUUACCUGUCUUUUGUUAUAGGAGUGUUGGUCGUGAUCCUGUGAUGGAUGAGAAAAUAUAUUCCACCUUUCUGUUCUGCCAAAACAAAGAAUAAUUUGAAGCUCAGGAGACUGUUUUUCUUGUGACUGGAACUGUGAAGACUAGAGUGACCUUGGAGAUCUCAUCUGGAAGAUGGUAGAACUGCUAUCAGCCUGGCUUCCCAAAUGACCUCCUGGAUCACAGCUACCCAUGGCCUGAAAUGUUGACCUUGGAGUUGUUGCAUAGGAAAGAAAUAAACUUCUUUGUUCUUUGAGCCACAUAGUUAUCACAUAU